rnacentral:rRNA from 1 species
UACAGAGGGUGCAAGCGUUAAUCGGAAUUACCGGGCGUAAAGCGUGCGUAGUCGGUUAUUUAAGUCGGGUGUGAAAGCCCCGGGCUCAACCUGGGAAUUGCAUUCGAUACUGGAUAGCUAGAGUUCGGCAGAGGGAAGCGGAAUUUCCGGUGUAGCGGUGAAAUGCGUAGAUAUCGGAAGGAACAUCAGUGGCGAAGGCGCUCUACUGGACCACAACUGACACUCAGGGACGAAAGCUAGGGGAGCGAAUGGG